GGGGGCGACCUGGUUUCGACGUGGGUCGUGAAGCAGCACAGGGCAUGCCAAGGUCCAGUCACCUUGUAAAAAGGCUGGAAACCAUAAACGCCAACGACGAGCGUUUCGCUCUCGCCGCCUAACACCGGCGAGACGCUGCACUAGCUUGCUGAUGGGCUAGGCCCAAAGGGCGGCGAGGCGCAAGCCAAGCUUGCUCAGCGGGUGCAGCGUCAUUUACAUCAGCCCCUCUGUGCGGUCUGGUCGCUUGGCCGCACGGAUCCGUCGAAGCGACUGGCCAAGCGUCAGCCUGCCGGCCGGCGGACGCGAGGCGAGACCCAAACGACCAGGCUAAGCAUGUAGUCCUGACUGUGGAAGGCUUGCGGACGCGGGUUCGAUUCCCGCCGCCUCCACCA
rnacentral:tmRNA from 1 species